rnacentral:rRNA from 1 species
GAUGAACGCUGGCGGCGUGCCUAAUACAUGCAAGUCGAGCGAACGGACGAGAAGCUUGCUUUUCUGAUGUUAGCGGCGGACGGGUGAGUAACACGUGGAUAACCUACCUAUAAGACUGGGAUAACUUCGGGACACCGGAGCUAACACCGGAUAAUAUUUUGAACCGCAUGGUUCAAAAGUGAAAGACGGUCUUGCUGUCACUUAUAGAUGGAUCCGCGCUGCAUUAGCUAGUUGGUAAGGUAACGGCUUACCAAGGCAACGAUGCAUAGCCGACCUGAGAGGGUGAUCGGCCACACUGGAACUGAGACACGGUCCAGACUCCUACGGGAGGCAGCAGUAGGGAAUCUUCCGCAAUGGGCGAAAGCCUGACGGAGCAACGCCGCGUGAGUGAUGAAGGUCUUCGGAUCGUAAAACUCUGUUAUUAGGGAAGAACAGAUGUGUAAGUAACUGUGCACAUCUUGACGGUACCUAAUCAGAAAGCCACGGCUAACUACGUG